rnacentral:rRNA from 1 species
AGAUUGAACGCUGGCGGAAUGCUUUACACAUGCAAGUCGAACGGCAGCACGGGGGCAACCCUGGUGGCGAGUGGCGCACGGGUGAGUAAUACAUCGGAACGUAUCCUAGAGUGGGGGAUAGCCCGGCGAAAGCCGGAUUAAUACCGCAUACGCUCGAAAGAGGAAAGUGGGGGAUCGUAAGACCUCACGCCCAAGGAGCGGCCGAUGCCGGAUUAGCUUGUUGGUGAGGUAAAGCUCACCAAGGCGACGAUCCGUAGCUGGUCUGAGAGGACGACCAGCCACACUGGGACUGAGACACGGCCCAGACUCCUACGGGA